rnacentral:rRNA from 1 species
AUUGAACGCUGGCGGCAGGCCUAACACAUGCAAGUCGAACGAGAGGCGGACGGGAGAGUAAUGUCUGGGCAACUGCCCGAUGGAGGGGGACAACUACUGGAAACGGUAGCUAAUACCGCAUACCAUCGGAUGUGCCCAGAUGGGAUUAGCUAGUAGGUGGGGUAACGGCUCACCUAGGCGACGAUCCCUAGCUGGUCUGAGAGGAUGACCAGCCACACUGGGACGGAGACACGGUCCAGACUCCUACGGGAGGCAGCAGUGGGGAAUAUUGCACAAUGGGCGAAAGCCUGAUGCAGCCAUGCCGCGUGUAUGAAGAAGGCCUUCGGGUUGUAAAGUACUUUCGGCGGGGAAGCGUUACUCGCAGAAGAAGCACCGGCUAACUCCGUGCCAGCAGCCGCGGUAAUUC